rnacentral:lncRNA from 1 species
GGAAUGAGUACAUCUAAUCCCUUAACGAGGAUCCAUGGAGGGCAAGUCGGUGCCAGCAGCGCGGUAGUCCAGCUCCAAUAGCGGUAUAUUUAAGUGUUGCAGUUUAAAAAAAGCUCGUAGUUGGACUUUGGUGGGUCGCCGGUCAGCCAUCAGGUGUGCACCGAGGUUAACUCGUCCCUUCUGUCGGACGAUGCGCUCCUACCCUUAACUGGGCGGGUCGUGCCUCGGCGUUGUUAC